CGUUGCGUCACUCGCGGGCACUAUGACGUAAAUUACGUCACGAUCUUUUCUAAUCAAUCAGCUGAUUUAGGCUUCGCUGUUUGCAGCAAAACAGAGUGUACCGUCGACAUAGCAUUUUCUUUUAAAUUGUUUGUAAGUGUAUUACACUAUUUAAAUUUGUCAGUUAACAAUAAUGUAAACGUGUCAGUGUGUGAUGUAUAGUCAGGUAGAAGUAUUUCAUCUAAUGAAGUGACAUAAGUGAAGAUCCUAGUCCACUAGCAAUAGGUAUUGAGCCUUUCCAGUUUGAACCUGUACUUCCAGCAAGUGUUGGGGAAGUAGACAGGCCAAGACCAUGGAAAACAAGUGAAGCUGAGUAAAUCAACAACACAAUUUGACAGUAUCGCUACACAGCUGAUCAGAACUUUGUUCGAUAGGUACCGGAAUGACUGGAAGGAAAACCGAAAGGUUCCAUCAGUACUGAUCAAAAGUAUAAGCGAACAACAUUAUAGUGACAGUUCAACAACAUUUGCAAGAAUAUUUCAUCAUUCAGUUUUGAAUGGUCUUGUUUCAUACAAAAUGUGAUUCAUGCAAGAGUUAUGUUGUUUUCAUUCAACAUUUAUAGAAAUACAUAUUUAAGUAUUGGAUUAUUUUCAUUGUUUUGAAUAAAGAAUGCUUGUACCAGAUGGUGGAUCUGUUUUUCUGCGCUCUACAAAUACAUGCUGCUUUCUUGA